CAGCUCCAAGGCAAGUCUGCAAACCGUCAAGUUUUACAUUUCCACAAUAAUGUUAACGUUAAAUAUAAGCAUUAUUUUAUCAAUAACAGUAUACAAUAUCAAUGUAUAACUGUACUUCGCUAUUUUAAACUCGUCAAAGGGAAAAAGAGUUCCACUGGGGUGAACAGAGGGUGGGCAUUUCCCAACUCCCUUCCGGAACCGUAUUUUAACCCCGGGAUUCAGGUCGGACCUCCUUAAUCAGCACACCGUGGCAUCCAUCACUGCUGAGGAAUAGAGAUACAGAGCUGUGAAACCCUGUCUGCAGAUGAAGAGCAGUGGUUCCCAGUCCUGUUCCUGGGGUCUCAAAGGGGUAUGUUUUGAUGUGAGAGAGUAUGCCAACCGUCAGAACCAUCAUCGCCACCUCACCCGCUGUUACGAUAACCUUCAGGCCAAUUUGGUGCCCAAGGCUGGUUAGGAGACUUAUGUAAAACAUUUCACAUUCUCUACUGGUUGAAGUCUCUCAUUUGAUGAAAUACCACACCUAUCCUGUCCUCAGAUCAGUGCAGAUGAAGGAAAUGCGAUAGAUGAACCUAUUUACAUGAUGCAUAGGAAGUGUAAUGUACUGUAUAUAUGAAUUACAAAUCAGCCCUUUAACUAGUUAAAUCAUGUUUCUAGUCUAUUGGUUACUAUGUGUAACCAUUGAUAUCCCAGGACCAAGAUUGGUAAACACUGUUGAAGUGUAUAAUUGUAAUACAUACAUGCAGACACAGCACCAUUCAAAGAAUGCCGUUUGAUAUUCCAGGUAUUGGAUAUGACUGAAAAAGAAUCUCACAGACAUUCAUACCUGAACCGCACCUUUAUUUACCAAGGUAGAGUACAUGAUCAGUGACUAUAUUAAAUGUACAGGCUACAAUGUGGGGAUCUCAUGCUACAUGUAUAUACGACUUGCAUCCUUGGCACAAAUUAUAUUCUACUCUACUCAAUCCAUAGGCUUCAUUAAUGUCAUUCAGACUGUUUUGAAGUUGAUACAACCAGCUAUGAUGGUUAAAGUUCAUAUCUAGGUUCUGAACUAAUAUGUAUACCAAACGUUUGGGUCCAUACACAGAUCAGCUGGACAGCUACACAUCCAUAGGCAUACAGGGAUUUGAUCCUCCACUGCCCAAUAAGCAGGAACAUAGUUAGCUAUGUUAUUUCAUCUCACUGCAUUGCAUGGCAAAUAUCAGCAGGGCAAACUGUACAUUCAAUUUGCAGUAAAUGCUUUAUCUAGCUAGAUUCUUUACGUCCACUGUUUCACAAGACGACAAUCUGGUUUUCUGGUAGUUUCAGGAGUCCCUAAAACAUUAAACAACCAGAAUUAUAAUUUCAUACUCAUGUCAAAACACCCAUAAAGAUAGCUAGCUGGCUACUGUGAUUUACUGUGAUUUAAUGUGAUUUAGUGUAAUUGAAUGUGAUUUCAUGUGAUUUAGUGCAAUUUGGUGUGAUUAGCUGUGCCCUAAAUGGGAUUGGCCCUAUGGUGAACGGAGGGCUGGGUUGGGUUGUCAGGUUGGGUUGUCAGGGCAGAACUGUUGGAACACACAGAAUAGCUGAUCUGGAUCCAUUCAUCUGUAGAGAAUGGAAUAUAGAUGAGGUGAAGGGUUCAAUGGAACUUGACCCAAAGAAUCUAAUUGCCAUGAAAACGCAUGGGGGAAAGAUCCUGAAUCUCCUCAUUGCACCCCAGCAAAAUGAAACUACACUUAGGCUAUUAAUUAUAAGCUUAUUUCACACUAUGUUGAGGUAAAAAUCUAGUCAAUGAUCUCCAUCCAGCAGUUCCACAGUAAACCACUCACUGUCUGGUAGACACACUUCUCCUAGUCAAUGAUCUCCGGCAGUUCCACAGUAAACCACUCGCUGUCUGGUAGACACACCUCUCCUAGUCAAUGAUCUCCAUCCAGCAGUUCCACAGUAAACCACUCGCUGUCUGGUAGACACACCUCUCCUAGUCAAUGAUCUCCAUCCAGCAGUUCCACAGUAAACCACUCGCUGUCUGGUAGACACACCUCUCCUAGUCAAUGAUCUCCAUCCAGCAGUUCCACAGUAAACCACUCGCUGUCUGGUAGACACACCUCUCCUAGUCAAUGAUCUCCAUCCAGCAGUUCCACAGUAAACCACUCGCUGUCUGGUAGACACACCUCUCCUAGUCAAUGAUCUCCAUCCAGCAGUUCCACAGUAAACCACUCGCUGUCUGGUAGACACACCUCUCCUAGUCAAUGAUCUCCAUCCAGCAGUUCCACAGUAAACCACUCGCUGUCUGGUAGACACACCUCUCCUAGUCAAUGAUCUCCAUCCAGCAGUUCCACAGUAAACCACUCGCUGUCUGGUAGACACACCUCUCCUAGUCAAUGAUCUCCAUCCAGCAGUUCCACAGUAAACCACUCGCUGUCUGGUAGACACACCUCUCCUAGUCAAUGAUCUCCGGCAGUUCCACAGUAAAUCGUUCAUUCCCUCUUUAUCUCUAAUUUGGUAUUAUAAACUGUCAGUAAACUAAGUUGUUAAUGAGAGUGUUUGGGGUUGUAACAAGGAAGUUAUUUAAUCAGCUAGCUCCGUCACCCGCCGAGACCCAGCAUCAGUCAGGGAAGAGCUGAUUCCAAAGCUUUAAUGAGAUUUCCUUCUAAAUGUACAAUGAAUAAGGACCCUGUUAACCAGGUCCUUGUGGAUAGAACCUAAUGAAAAGAGUCUUUCUCAGCAGAUAAUGCAGCCCUCUGAAAAACAGAACUGUUUUGGACAAAUAAUUUCUUUAAUUUAAAAAGUUUCACUGAAGGUACUGGGCAGAACUUGGAAAGUUGUGUAUGGAGAUGAUCAGCAUUGGCUUAAUAACAGGAAGUGUGUUUACUUGGAUUUACUUUUUACACACAAAGACACACACACACACUUCAUGAUUGAGUAUUGCUCUGUUCAAGUAGACUGUGAUUUUGCUGUGGUCUGAUAGGGGUGUUUAGUGGGCUGACUGUGAACGCUCUGAGUUGAG